rnacentral:rRNA from 1 species
AACGCUAGCUACAGGCUUAACACAUGCCCGUCGAGGGGCGGCAUGAUUGAAGCUUGCUUCAAUUGAUGGCGACCGGCGCACGGGUGAGUAACACGUAUCCAACCUCCCGCUUACUCAGGAAUAGCCUUUCGAAAGAAAGAUUAAUGCCUGAUGGUAUCUUAAGCACACAUGUAAUUAAGAUUAAAGAUUUAUCGGUAAGCGAUGGGGAUGCGUUCCAUUAGGUAGUAGGCGGGGUAACGGCCCACCUAGCCUACGAUGGAUAGGGGUUCUGAGAGGAAGGUCCCCCACAUUGGAACUGAGACACGGUCCAAACUCCUACGGGAGGCAGCAGUGAGGAAUAUUGGUCAAUGGGCGCGAGCCUGAACCAGCCAAGUAGCGUGAAGGAUGAAGGUCCUAUGGAUUGUAAACUUCUUUUAUACGGGAAUAAAGUGGCCUACGCGUAGGCUUUUGCAUGUACCGUAUGAAUAAGCAUCGGCUAACUCCGUGCCAGCAGCCGCGGUAAUACGGAGGAUGCGAGCGUUAUCCGGAUUUAUUGGGUUUAAAGGGAGCGCAGACGGGGGAUUAAGUCAGUUGUGAAAGUUUGCGGCUCAACCGUAAAAUUGCAGUUGAUACUGGUUCCCUUGAGUGCAGUUGAGGCAGGCGGAAUUCGUGGUGUAGCGGUGAAAUGCAUAGAUAUCACGAAGAACUCCGAUUG